AUAACCUACUAAGUUCUCAGUGAAUACUUUUCUAGCAACCUAUUUCAUUACCUUUACUUAUACCCUUUGUGUCACUAUACCCCACUCCCUCUAGCAUUGAGCAGGGCCCUCAACCCCUCUGUUUCUGUGCAUCCAUUUGUCUGGUUAAAAUUAUGUGUCUGUUAGUCCACCUAUUGUACAGCGCUAUGGAAUUUGCUGGCUCUAUAUAAAUAAUAAAAUUAUA